GAUGAACGCUGGCGGCGUGCCUAAUACAUGCAAGUCGAGCGAACAGACGAGGAGCUUGCUCCUCUGACGUUAGCGGCGGACGGGUGAGUAACACGUGGAUAACCUACCUAUAAUACUGGGAUAACUUCGGGAAACCGGAGCUAAUACCGGAUAAUAUAUUGAACCGCAUGGUUCAAUAGUGAAAGACGGUUUUGCUGUCACUUAUAGAUGGAUCCGCGACGCAUUAGCUAGUUGGUAAGGUAACGGCUUACCAAGGCGACGAUGCGUAGCCGACCUGAGAGGGUGAUCGGCCACACUGGAACUGAGACACGGUCCAGACUCCUACGGGAGGCAGCAGUAGGGAAUCUUCCGCAAUGGGCGCAAGCCUGACGGAGCAACGCCGCGUGAGUGAUGAAGGUCUUCGGAUCGUAAAACUCUGUUAUUAGGGAAGAACAAAUGUGUAAGUAACUAUGCACGUCUUGACGGUACCUAAUCAGAAAGCCACGGCUAACUACGUG
rnacentral:rRNA from 1 species